rnacentral:lncRNA from 1 species
GAAACAAGUCACCUUGUGGUAGAUUUACGGUGCUUCAGCUACGGAGCUACCAACCAGUUCAGUCCUACACACACUUCAUCUUUGCAGUGUUCAUGGUGCUUUAGCUACCUAACAGAGUAGUAACAGUUCACUCAAAAGGGUGCUUACACGUACUUCAGGUACCAGCAACACAGUUCACUCAAAAAGGGUAGGUGGUUGAGGGAAAAAGGACAUUCCCCUCAACCAUUUCGUCUCACCAGACCGAUUAAGGAUUUAAACCUAUCCUAAAAUCCCAUUUGCCUGCUCUGAAAUUUAACAUCUUUUUUUUGCCUAUAAUGGAGUUCAACUAAUAUUACAAUAGUAUUACAAUGUACUUCCUCCAUCCUAAAUUAUUAGUCGUUUUGAAUUUUCUAAAUCCAUAGUUUAAAACGGAGGCAGUGGCGGAGCCACCAGUAUGGCGAGCUAUGGCGGCCGCCAUACCUGCCACGGAUAACCCCUUCCCUCCCCGCGCCAGUUCGUUUCCGGCCACCCUGCGCCAUGGAUCCAUGGAUGUCAGGUCUGUUCGUCUGGUCUAGAGGAAGAAGAACAUCACGUUUAGACUUUUGGGCUUCUGGAGAAUUGGACAGUCAGGUACUCAGGUAGUCAGGUAUCAGCCCAUCACAGACCGCACAAGCCCAUCAUGAAUCGUCAAAACCAACUACCUGAUGGAUGGAGUCGCCGUUGCCC